rnacentral:rRNA from 1 species
UACGGAGGGUGCGUGCGUUGUCCGGAAUCACUGGGCGUAAAGGGCGCGUAGGCGGCCCGGCAAGUCAGUGGUGAAAGCCCGAGGCUCAACUUCGGGUCGGCCACUGAUACUGCUAGGCUUGAGUCGACUAGAGGCAGAUGGAAUUCCGGGUGUAGCGGUGGAAUGCGUAGAGAUCCGGAAGAACACCGGUGGCGAAGGCGGUCUGCUGGGGUCGAACUGACGCUGAGGCGCGACAGCGUGGGGAGCAAACAGG